GGAUCCUAAUAAGAUAUGCUUCUCUAUACCAUAGUAUUGAAAACACUGUUGAUUAGAGGCCGGGUGCGGUGGCUCUAAACAAAACAGGCAGCAGGUCCUGGUUCUGAAGGCAGGGCUGUGGCCCCACAUACCCCAGGCUUCCAGGUCUGGCUCUUCCACUUGCCAGCAAUAUGACCUUGGGCAAGUUAUUUUUCUCUCCCUUCAGUUUCCUCAUAAUGCAAAAUGGAGCUAAUAAUAGUACCUACGUCACAGAACUCAUGGAGAUGGAAUGAGGGUGCACAGGAUACACAUAAAGAAUACCAACUUGCACACAGCAACCACUCUACAAGUGAGAGCAACUAUUAUUACAAUUAUUAUCUUCCCAUUUUUCCUAUAUUAAAAAUGUGCAACUGUGAUUUUUAUCCCUAAAAAUAGAUCCAUUAACUGUUCUCUAGCAUACAAUUAAUAUUACGCAGUUGUAAAUCCAUGAUAAAAGAGUAAAUAAGCCUAAGUUUUCUUCCUAUAAACUGCCCACACUGAAAUUGUGCACCUGCCAAGUACAACAUACAGGACAAUGCUUUAAGCAACCUCCCACUUUUAGCAGUAAAUCAAAGUCCUCAAGCUG
rnacentral:lncRNA from 1 species